AGUGAACGCUGGCGGUAGGCCUAACACAUGCAAGUCGAACGGCAGCACAGUAAGAGCUUGCUCUUACGGGUGGCGAGUGGCGGACGGGUGAGGAAUACAUCGGAAUCUACUUUUUCGUGGGGGAUAACGUAGGGAAACUUACGCUAAUACCGCAUACGACCUACGGGUGAAAGCAGGGGAUCUUCGGACCUUGCGCGAUUGAAUGAGCCGAUGUCGGAUUAGCUAGUUGGCGGGGUAAAGGCCCACCAAGGCGACGAUCCGUAGCUGGUCUGAGAGGGUGAUCAGCCACACUGGAACUGAGACACGGUCCAGGCUCCUACGGGAGGCAGCAGUGGGGAAUAUUGGACAAUGGGCGCAAGCCUGAUCCAGCCAUACCGCGUGGGUGAAGAAGGCCUUCGGGUUGUAAAGCCCUUUUGUUGGGAAAGAAAAGCAGCAGGUUAAUACCCCGCUGUUCUGACGGUACCCAAAGAAUAAGCACCGGCUAACUUCGUG
rnacentral:rRNA from 1 species